rnacentral:rRNA from 1 species
CUUUGGGGUGUGACUGCGUACCUUUUGUAUAAUGGGUCAGCGACUUAUAUUCUGUAGCAAGGUUAACCGUAUAGGGGAGCCGCAGGGAAACCGAGUCUUAACCGGGCGUUAAGUUGCAGGGUAUAGACCCGAAACCCGGUGAUCUAGCCAUGGGCAGGUUGAAGGUUGGGUAACACUAACUGGAGGACCGAACCGACUAAUGUUGAAAAAUUAGCGGAUGACCUGUGGCUGGGGGUGAAAGGCCAAUCAAACCGGGAGAUAGCUGGUUCUCCCCGAAAGCUAUUUAGGUAGCGCCUCGUGAAUUCAUCUCCGGGGGUAGAGCACUGUUUCGGCUAGGGGGCCAUCCCGGCUUACCAACCCGAUGCAAACUGCGAAUACCGGAGAAUGUUAUCACGGGAGACACACGGCGGGUGCUAACGUCCGUCGUGAAGAGGGAAACAACCCAGACCGCCAGCUAAGGUCCCAAAGUCAUGGUUAAGUGGGAAACGAUGUGGGAAGGCCCAGACAGCCAGGAUGUUGGCUUAGAAGCAGCCAUCAUUUAAAGAAAGCGUAAUAGCUCACUGGUCGAGUCGGCCUGCGCGGAAGAUGUAACGGGGCUAAACCAUGCACCGAAGCUGCGGCAGCGACGCUGAUG